GAGGUUAGGGAUUAGGUAAUAAAAAGAGGGAGAGUCAGAUGUUGCGGCGAAUCCAUCUGGUUAACUGAAAGGUCGUCGUUCCGACCUCUACCUCCACCUCCACCCCCAAUCCCAAACACAUUCUCCGCUGAUGCAUUCUGUUGUUACUUGGUAUGAUUGGUAUUAAACAUACACAAACAGGAGAAGGAGAAGGGGUGCAUCAUGUAUGUGUAUGAUCUUAACGACCUUGCAAUUAACCAGAUGAAUUAGCCUCUACAUGUAUACAAACAAUAAAGACAUUGGUUGGAUUUCACUAGCAAUCCACUGAAUAAUUAUAUGAGUAAGUGCCUCUAUUUGUGUAAGACUCUAAAAAGAUGAAUGAUUGUUUUCUUUAUCUAUUUGGUCAUAUGCAGUAAGCAACCAAAGGAAUGUGGCAUCAAGGUGCAAUAAUGUGUCUUCAGGUUCUUUAAUACAAUUCGAAGAAAAUUAAAUUGAUGUCUUUUAGUUAUGUAGUUCAAAUUGUUGCAUCUUUAUAUACCUGUUGUUGGAGGGUGGAUACAUACUCCAUCAUCAACUGUGUCUGCAUCAAUCAUUAACCAUAAUCACUCUCAAUAUAUCAAUAUCAUAAUAAGAUCCUACUAAUCAGUGAUUAAUGCAAAACAUGAUGAAAAUAAUUCAAAAACAAAAAUAGAUAGGUAUCUUUUGAACAAGUAGCAACAAAUGAAAAAGGAUCACCUUUCUUGACCUUGUUUGCAUAAGAGCAGUAUCAAGUUCUUCUUCAAGUUGUGUCAUCUCAACCACAGAGAGCUCCUCAUUAUUACUAUUAUUCUCUUCAACAAGCCUGUGCAAAGAGUUGGGUAUCAUUAAAAUCAUUAUCUUCUAACUUACCAUUGUGUGUGUGUGUGUGUGUUGUAUGUUUACGUAUUACCUGUCCACCAUUUGUAGAAGCUCUUUACAUGUUUUGAAUUUUGUGCACUUCAAUGGAAGUUCCUGUAAUACAUCUCAAUUAUUAACUCAUAUUUAUACAAAAUAUGUAUAUAUUGUGAAAACAAGGAAUUAAGAAGUUGCACGAGGCUUACUGAA